UACGUAGGGUGCAGGCGUUAAUCGGAAUUACUGGGCGUAAAGCGUGCGCAGGCGGUCUUUUUAAGUCAGAUGUGAAAAUCCCCCGGGCUUAACCUGGGAACUGCGUUUGAAACUGGAAGGCUAGAGUGUGGCAGAGGGGGGGUGGAAUUCCACGUGUAGCAGUGAAAUGCGUAGAGAUGUGGAGGAACACCGAUGGCGAAGGCAGCCCCCCUGGGCCUGCACUGACGCUCAUGCACGAAAGCGUGGGGAGCAAACAGG
rnacentral:rRNA from 1 species